rnacentral:rRNA from 1 species
UGAGGAAUAUUGGUCAAUGGACGCAAGUCUGAACCAGCCAAGUAGCGUGCAGGAUGACGGCCCUAUGGGUUGUAAACUGCUUUUAUGUGGGAAUAAAUUGGCGCACGUGUGCGCCAUUGCAUGUACCUCAUGAAUAAGGACCGGCUAAUUCCGUGCCAGCAGCCGCGGUAAUACGGAAGGUCCAGGCGUUAUCCGGAUUUAUUGGGUUUAAAGGGAGCGUAGGCGGACGAUUAAGUCAGCUGUGAAAGUUUGCGGCUCAACCGUAAAAUUGCAGUUGAAACUGGUUGUCUUGAGUGCACGCAGGGAUGUUGGAAUUCAUGGUGUAGCGGUGAAAUGCUUAGAUAUCAUGAAGAACUCCGAUCGCGAAGGCAUAUGUCUGGAGUGCAACUGACGCUGAGGCUCGAAAGUGCGGGUAUCGAACAGGAUUAGAUACCCUGGUAGUCCGCACAGUAAACGAUGAAUACUCGCAGUGUGCGAUAUAUUGUAUGCUGCCAAGUGAAAACGUUAAGUAUUCCACCUGGGGAGUACGCCGGCAACGGUG